rnacentral:rRNA from 1 species
GACGAACGCUGGCGGCGUGCUUAACACAUGCAAGUCGAGCGAGGCCCACCGGGUGGCAACACCUGGUGGUUCCUAGCGGCGAACGGGUGAGUAACACGUGGGUAACCUACCCCUGACUUCGGGAUAACCCCGGGAAACCGGGGCUAAUACCGAAUAUGAAGCUCCCUCGCAUGGGGGAACCUGGAAAGGGUUCACCGGUCAGGGAUGGGCCCGCGGCCUAUCAGCUUGUUGGUGGGGUAAGAGCCCACCAAGGCGACGACGGGUAGCCGGCCUGAGAGGGUGUCCGGCCACACUGGGACUGAGACACGGCCCAGACUCCUACGGGAGGCAGCAGUAGGGAAUCUUCCACAAUGGACGAAAGUCUGAUGGAGCAACGCCGCGUGAACGAUGAAGGCUUUCGGGUCGUAAAGUUCUGUUGUAAGGGAAGAACAAGUGCCGCAGGCAAUGGCGGCACCUUGACGGUACCUUGCGAGAAAGCCACGGCUAACUACGUGCCAGCAGCCGCCGUAAUAC